rnacentral:tRNA from 1 species
GGAGAGGUGGCAGAGUGGUUGAAUGCACUGGUCUUGAAAACCAGCAUACGUGCAAGCGUAUCGAGGGUUCGAAUCCCUCCCUCUCCG